AAACAAUUAUUAAGAAUAUGAUCAGCGGUAUUGAUUAUUUUAGGUUCUCGUGGCGCAUGACUUCUUAACUGUUGUUCCAGUCGGUGGAUGGAAGUAGACACUUUUUCGCUGAAGCUAUCAAGUUGAUUAUGCGGCGAAUUUUCAAUGCAGGAAAGGUUGACAAUGUAAUUAUUACUUUUUUACGUUGCGUCUGCAUAAUCACACCAAAGAGUUUGCAAAGGCAAUAAGUUGUUUCACUCUACAGUUUCAAUAACAAUAACAAGAAUUUGGUUAGGAUCGGAGAAAUAGCGUGGAAUUAGUGAUUAGAAUUAUUUUUCUUUAAUUAACACAAGCAAAGUCGACACUCAAGCCGCAUUUCUACUAUAAAUAGUUAAUAUGGCAAGGGCUGUUUUUGAAAAGAUUUAUUUGAGGCUGCGGAAUAGCUUUCGAGGGCGAGCAAAAUUGUUUAUCAAAAUUCAUAUCACGAUGAUCACAAGAAACAAAGUCGGACAAUUAGUAAAAAUGCUAAGUGAAGUCGGUAUUGCUACGUGCGAGUAAA